rnacentral:rRNA from 1 species
AGCUCCAAUAGUGUAUAUUAAAGUUGUUGCGGUUAAAAAGCUCGUAGUUGGAUUUCUGCCAAGGCCGACCGGUCCGUCCUUUGGGUGAGUAUCUGGCUUGACUGGAGCAUCCUCUUGGAGAGCGUUGCUGCACUUGAUUGUGUGGCGCGAAACCCAAGACUUUUACUUUGAGGAAAUUAGAGUGUUUCAAGCAGGCUCAUGCCUUGAAUACAUUAGCAUGGAAUAAUAAGAUAAGGCCUUGGUUGUAUUUUGUUGGUUUCUAGAGCUGAGGUAAUGAUGAACAGGGAUACUUGGGGGCAUACGAAUUUAAUUGUCAGAGGUGAAAUUCUUGGAUUUGUUAAAGACGGACUACUGUGAAAGCAUUUGCCAAGAAUGUUUUCA